UGGGGAAUAUUGGACAAUGGGCGCAAGCCUGAUCCAGCCAUGCCGCGUGAGUGAUGAAGGCCUUAGGGUUGUAAAGCUCUUUUGUCCGGGACGAUAAUGACGGUACCGGAAGAAUAAGCCCCGGCUAAGCUUCGUGCCAGCAGCCGCGGUAAUACGAAGGGGCGUAGCGUUGCUCGGAAUCACUGGGCGUAAAGGGCGCGUAGGCGGCCAUUCAAGUCGGGGGUGAAAGCCUGUGGCUCAACCACAGAAUUGCCUUCGAUACUGUUUGGCUUGAGUAUGGUAGAGGUUGGUGGAACUGCGAGUGUAGAGGUGAAAUUCGUAGAUAUUCGCAAGAACACCGGUGGCGAAGGCGGCCAACUGGACCAUUUACUGACGCUGAGGCGCGAAAGCGUGGGGAGCAAAACA
rnacentral:rRNA from 1 species